rnacentral:lncRNA from 1 species
UAUCCUCUUUUCUUUUCUCGCAGUGUUAGCACCUUGACAAUGGCAACUUCCUAAUUUUGUAGAGACAAACAGAGAAACAACAUUCUCUAUUGACAAUAACUUGCUUUGGAACCUACCUGGUGCCUCUGCGUUUUCUAACUGGAAAAGUUUUUCCCAUCAGAGGCUAAUGAUCCAUGUGCCAAUGCUUUCUUGUUUAUAAUAAAGAAAGUUCAACUUGUGUCCUUGAAGUAAAAUGUAAACAAAUUUCAAGGCCAUCGACUAAGAAUUAAUAAUACUUUCUAAAGUCAUUUAUGAAAAUAAACAGAAGCUGUUCGAGAGAAAUAUAUUUAGUCUUCCUAUAUCUUGUUCUAAUGAGAAGACUAUUCUGAAGAGUUAUAACUUUCCUCUGCUGUAUGCUGUUAUGAAAAAUUUAUUGCUCAAUGAUU